rnacentral:rRNA from 1 species
GCGCCAGACUCCUACGGGAGGCAGCAGUGGGGAAUAUUGCACAAUGGGGGGAACCCUGAUGCAGCGACGCCGCGUGGGUGAAGGAGUACUUCGGUACGUAAAGCCCUAUCAGCAGGAAAGAAAAUGACGGUACCUGACUAAGAAGCCCCGGCUAACUACGUGCCAGCAGCCGCGGUAAUACGUAGGGGGCAAGCGUUAUCCGGAUUUACUGGGUGUAAAGGGAGCGUAGACGGCCAUGCAAGCCUGGAGUGAAAGCCCGGGGCCCAACCCCGGGACUGCUCUGGGAACUGUGCGACUGGAGUGCGGGAGGGGCAGGCGGAAUUCCUGGUGUGGCGGUGAAAUGCGUAGAUAUCAGGAGGAACACCGGCGGCGAAGGCGGCCUGCUGGACCGCGACUGACGUUGAGGCUCGAAAGCGUGGGGAGCAAACAGGAUUAGAUCCCCGGGUA